GAUGGAGACAAAUGGCCUGUUGUGGUGACACAUAAGAGGAGCAGCCAAAAAAAGUUAUUUUAUAUUUUAAAAUGGAGCUUUCUGUGUGCUACAGUUUCCUACUAACCAAACCAUAAAAUUCCAGUAUGUAAAAUCAAAGUGAAUCACAGAAACACUCUCUAUUCUUUAUGUCCAGUUAAUGAGCCACUUGUGUAAUUCUACAUUUUACACACUGAGUAAAACAGAGGGAAAAGUUCUUGGCUGAUCUUAAAAUACAGUGAU